rnacentral:rRNA from 1 species
GCUGAGGCGUGAUGACGAGGCACUACGGUGCUGAAGCAACAAAUGCCCUGCUUCCAGGAAAAGCCUCUAAGCAUCAGGUAACAUCAAAUCGUACCCCAAACCGACACAGGUGGUCAGGUAGAGAAUACCAAGGCGCUUGAGAGAACUCGGGUGAAGGAACUAGGCAAAAUGGUGCCGUAACUUCGGGAGAAGGCACGCUGAUAUGUAGGUGAAGUCCCUCGCGGAUGGAGCUGAAAUCAGUCGAAGAUACCAGCUGGCUGCAACUGUUUAUUAAAAACACAGCACUGUGCAAACACGAAAGUGGACGUAUACGGUGUGACGCCUGCCCGGUGCCGGAAGGUUAAUUGAUGGGGUCAGCGCAAGCGAAGCUCUUGAUCGAAGCCCCGGUAAACGGCGGCCGUAACUAUAACGGUCCUAAGGUAGCGAAAUUCCUUGUCGGGUAAGUUCCGACCUGCACGAAUGGCGUAAUGAUGGCCAGGCUGUCUCCACCCGAGACUCAGUGAAAUUGAACUCGCUGUGAAGAUGCAGUGUACCCGCGGCAAGACGGAAAGACCCCGUGAACCUUUACUAUAGCUUGACACUGAACAUUGAGCCUUGAUGUGUAGGAUAGGUGGGAGGCUUAGAAGUGUGGACGCCAGUCUGCAUGGAGCCGACCUUGAAAUACCACCCUUUAAUGUUUGAUGUUCUAACGUUGACCCGUAAUCCGGGUUGCGGACAGUGUCUGGUGGGUAGUUUGACUGGGGCGGUCUCCUCCUAAAGAGUAACGGAGGAGCACGAAGGUUGGCUAAUCCUGGUCGGACAUCAGGAGGUUAGUGCAAUGGCAUAAGCCAGCUUGACUGCGAGCGUGACGGCGCGAGCAGGUGCGAAAGCAGGUCAUAGUGAUCCGGUGGUUCUGAAUGGAAGGGCCAUCGCUCAACGGAUAAAAGGUACUCCGGGGAUAACAGGCUGAUACCGCCCAAGAGUUCAUAUCGACGGCGGUGUUUGGCACCUCGAUGUCGGCUCAUCACAUCCUGGGGCUGAAGUAGGUCCCAAGGGUAUGGCUGUUCGCCAUUUAAAGUGGUACGCGAGCUGGGUUUAGAACGUCGUGAGACAGUUCGGUCCCUAUCUGCCGUGGGCGCUGGAGAACUGAGGGGGGCUGCUCCUAGUACGAGAGGACCGGAGUGGACGCAUCACUGGUGUUCGGGUUGUCAUGCCAAUGGCACUGCCCGGUAGCUAAAUGCGGAAGAGAUAAGUGCUGAAAGCAUCUAAGCACGAAACUUGCCCCGAGAUGAGUUCUCCCUGACUCCUUGAGAGUCCUGAAGGAACGUUGAAGACGACGACGUUGAUAGGCCGGGUGUGUAAGCGCAGCGAUGCGUUGAGCUAACCGGUACUAAUGAACCGUGAGGCUUAACCUUACAACGCCGAAG